UUGUUGCUGUCAUUGUCAAAAUUUUAAGGUUAUAAAUUAAUAAAAUAAUAGUUUUAGUAAUUUCUUGUUUAUUUGUGUGAAAAAUUCUAAUUCUUGGCCAUAUUAAUUAUAAGACGAUUUAUAGCAAUGUUUGUCAAAUGAUUUACAAAGCUUUAAUGCGUUUUUCGGCCGAGUAUGAAUGUGGUAAAUCACCUUACUACAACGACCGUUUUUGAGGAUUCCAGUGGAUUUGUGUGCUUUCAAACAUUCUGCAUCCCACCAACCAAGGAACUGGUUUUCUCACAACAAUCACAUUAGGUUACACAUUAAAAUAAUAGCAUGGAAUAUUGACCAGUCUGAUUUAUUAUAAUUGAAGCUUUCAAGAGGAUCGCUUUUAUCAUAUUUUUCUGCACAGUUAAAGUUAAAGUCUUAUUAUAAUGAUAUGAUAUAUUAUAAUGAUAACUACCCAAUGGAUUGUUGCGUACAUACCAAUUAUAUAACAGAGCUAAAGAAGGACUGAUACAGAAAACCUCAAUUGAACUUUUUUUGAUUGACUUUUUUUUAUUUUUGAUAUUUUUUUAUUUAUAUUAGAAUUGACUUCAGUCAAUACUGCCUACUGUGUAUUAAGAGAGCCACUAUAUUUAAAUGUACAAAAAUUACAUUCAUCUAACAUGUUAUAGAUAUCAGAGCCUCUAGCCUUUGUUGUAAAUCACAUGAAAGCAAUCUGAUGAAUGAUCAUUAUAUUGCUUUUAUCCAAUUUAAAUCACCUGAAAGUAGAACUGAUGCAGGAAAACUGUUUAUUAUUUGUUUUAAUCUUCUAAUACUUAAACUUCUUUAGACAACUACUUUAGACUUUAAAACACCUAGACAAAUUAUCUAGAUUAGUGCCUACUAAGGGCUAGUUAAAGACUAAAUAAAUCAUAGAAUAGUGUGGAACUAAUAAAAUAUUUGUAUAUGUAUAUAUGUAAUAAAUAAAAUACCAAAUAAAAACAA